rnacentral:lncRNA from 1 species
CGGCCUGAAAUGUUAGCCCAGGAAACCAGGUUUUUAUUAUUUUAAACAAAUUAUAAAAACGAACUAAUUUAUUCAAAGUGUAUUAAUUUUAUAACAGAUGUCUGGGGUUGUGAUAAAAGUCUAUUUUACUAUAUGGUGACGGAUGCCUAUAUUUUGCCGGAUACCGGUAUCUGGCUCUGGCACAUCCCUACUUAUUACUAGCUCUGUUUAUGUAGGAACUUUUCAGAGGAUGCUUCUGCAAAUGUAACUAUAUGAUGGUAAAUUCUAGCGAGGUUUAAACCAAGGAAUGUCAACAAGACAAGAUGAAAGUCUGCUCGAUGCAUGUGAAAGAGGGGAACUUCACAAAGUACAAGAGAUCUUGCAAAAAGACUCGGAUAUCAUCAACAGGUUGAAUCAACGUGGCGGUCUCUUGCGCAACACUCCAUUGCACUACGCUGCAUGUCAAGGUCAUGUUGAUAUCUUACAACUGUUGCUUAACCAUGGUGCCAGUGUGAACACGGUGGACUAUGAGGGUCAUACACCAUUGCACUACGCUGCAUCUCAGGGUCAUGUUGAUAUCUUACAACUGUUGCUUAACCAUCGUGCCAGUGUGAACGCGGUGGACUAUGAGGAUGCUACACCAUUGCACGACGCUGCAUCUCAGGGUCAUGUUGAUAUCUUACAACUGUUGCUUAACCUUGGUGCCAGUGUGAACACGGUGAACUAUAAGGGUGCUACACCAUUGCACGACGCUGCAUCUUGGGGUCAUGUUGAUAUCUUACAACUGUUGCUUAACCAUGGUGCCAGUGUGAACACGGUGGACUAUAAGGGUGCUACACCAUUGCACUACGCUGCAUUUGACGGUCAUGUUGAUAUCUUACAACUGUUGCUUAACCAUGGUGCCAGUGUGAACACGGUGGACAAGUAUGGUGAUACACCAUUGCACGAAGCUGCAUCUGACGGUCAUGUUGAUAUCUUACAACUGUUGCUUAACCAUGGUGCCAGUGUGAACGCGGUGAACUAUGAGGGUGCUACACCAUUGCACGACGCUGCAUCUCGGGGUCAUGUUGAUAGCUUACAACUGUUGCUUAACCAUGGUGUCAGUGUGAACGCGGUGGACAAGCAGCGUGAAACACCAUUGCACAAAGCUGCAUCUCAGGGUCGUGUGAAAUGCAUUAAGGUUUGUUUCUCUCGUGAGAUAGUCAAUGUUCAGCAGCUCAGUUAAUCCUCGCAAUUUUUGCUAGAAAUAGGCAAAGAGAUAAUGCCGCUGAAAAUUGAAUAAACAAUAUCAGUUUUUUUGCAGGGACGGUGGGACGAUGUAUGUGUGUGUGUGGGGGGGGGGGACGACAGAUUUUUGAGCUAGGACCCUUUUCAAUGGGUUCAUAAUCCCCGAGCCGGCGGCGCGAAGCGCCGUGCGAGGGUACUAAUUCUGCACGGCUAAUUAUACCCAGGUAUGUGAAAACAUAGCGGAGUGCAAAGUUGUCCUCCAUUUUGUUUAUGUCAUGGACGGUUUUCGACGUUAUUGGCGUGCGCGAGUGCAAGCUCUGUCGAAGUAAUUGUUUUUCAUUUUGUUUUACAUUUUGUUAAAAAGUUUACAAAAGUACAACACGUUUUUGUUUCUCGGUUUUAAAUGGAAAUAAGCCCGCAAUUUCAUGAAUUAUAGUGGCUGUUCAACCGUGAAACAAAGUUUGUAUAAUAAUUGUUUUGAUGUUGAUAUCUUUGUCCCUUUGAUAAUUUAAUCGUUGUUUUGCCGAUUUGGGUAAGUGUAAACAUUUCAGUAGUAAAAUUUGUGUUGUCGAUUUUAUUCAUAUCUGCAGAAUUUUAAAGCCAUUUUUAACUCGAUAAUUCACUUUAAUGCAAGCUGGUAUGCAUGAAAUUGCAGUGAUUGUUAUCGUUCAUUAUAAAGCUAGCGCAUCAGUUGUGUUGUUAUGUUUGUUUAUAUGUAAUGGUCUUAAUACUUUAUGUGGAGUUUUUAUACUUCAUCUGUUAAGUCUUAAGAAAGGCGAGGGGUUGCUGCAUGCAUGUAUUUUCUAGUUUGUAAUUUUCGCCUGAUGAAGCGAACAUGUAAUGAUUUUUUUAAAUAUCUCAAAUAUUUCCCGAAUAUCAAAAAGGGCACUUUUGCCCCUGUUGGGAAAGGCAAUGCCCCUCCCCUGCACCCCCUCUUCAGCAUCCCUGUUUUUUUUGUAAUGACAUUUGCAAAGAUGUCAAUUCCGAUGGCCUCCUAGUUUUGAGGGCAGCUCAAGGUAUGAAUGAUGUAAUCACGGUAUGAAAAUGGUUCAUGCCAGUUCAAAGAAUCGGUUUCCACAAUAAAUCGUAUCAUAAAUUUUUCCACACAAAUUUAUUUGGGGGGGGGAGGGGCUUUUGAGCUAGGUCUCCCCUGCCCCCCUCUCGGCGGCACUGGAUGGGGCGUGCCAAUUAAUUACAUAAUGAUCAUGCUUCCCCCCAUUCUGGCAUCACUGCUAUAGUGCUAUUAUAACUUCCAGGUUUUUGAUCAUCUAAAUCUGGCAGCCUCAGAUUUGUUAUACUAGCCAGUCACUAGGUAAACAUUUGGGUUUUUUUUCAAUUAAUGAUAUCCUGUAUAAUUCUUGUUUAGGUGUUGUUGAAAAAUGGUGCAAACAUCAACGCGUUGAACAGAGUCGGUAGAACUGUGUAUGAAACUGCAAUGGAAGGCAAACAUAAAGAAUUAGCCAAGUGUUUAAGAAAUGCAGGUAUUUAUAAAACUGUAAGAGGUUGUUGGUUAUGUGAACCAGGGGCGGAUCUACCAGUGGGGUGCUCACCCCCCUUUCCCUGCUGGUGUUCAGCACCCCCGCGAAAACUUUGGUAUUCCGUAUUUGAGUUGUGAAAACUACUUAUUAUAUUGAAACGAUUGAUUUUCGAAUACGCGAGAAAAUAUUCAAGCACCAAUACGGCGGGUUCCAUAUAACGUCACACUUUUCUUAAUUUUUGCCCGAAAUACAAGUACUGUGAGGACAAAUUUAACGAAUAAACGUAAGUACUCAGAAUGCAGGAAAUGGCAUUUCAGGGCUUCAAAUUUCAAAAAUUUUUUGGGGGAGAUGCCCCGGACCAACUCUGGAAAACCUCCA